CCUUAAGCUGAUCUUAUGUAAAACUACCCGCUGAAUUUAAACAUAUUAUUAAGCGGAGGAAAAGAAAAUAACUAUGAUUCCCUUAGUAAUGGCGAACGAACAGGGAUCAGUUCAAGCCUUUAAUCCUUCCCCUUGGGGACAGGAGUUGUGGUCUACCCCUUGUUUAUCUGUACCGUCGUCCCGACUAGAUCUAGCGAGAUAUAGUGUCACAGAGGGUUUCAACCCCGUCUGUUGGGAUUGUGUGUACCUAAGAUAGCUUUGGUGUGAGUCGUGUUGCUUGGGACUGCAGCACUAAUUGGGAGGUAAUAUCCUUCUAAAACUAAAUAUUACCAGGAGACCGAUAGCGAACAAGUACCGUGAGGGAAAGAUGAAAAGGAAUUUGAAAAGAAUGUGAAAAGUACGUGAAAUCGUUAGGUGAAAGCGAAUAGCAUGCCUUUAAUAACGUGGGUUUUCUGGUUGCUACGCUUCUUUGUUCAUGCGUGCAUGUCACUGGAGUACACAAUUGGUUAACUGAGGAGAGAUUGUUCUUGUUCGUCUGUAGUCGUGAUUUUGAUUUCUUUUGCUUCCGCCACGGUGGGGUAAUUGAUUUUGGCUUCCUUCUGCUUUCGUUUGUUCAUCUUGACGUUAUUGGCGUUGUUAUCCGACCCGUCUUGAAACACGGACCAAGGAGUCUAACGUAUGUGCGAGUCCUCGAGUUGUAAACUCCUAGGCGUAGAGAAAUCGAUUGAAUGAUAACACUUAGUGUUCCUCAUCGGCUGUGACUGAUUCUUCGGAUGAAGAAUACUCGCUUGAGCAUGUAUGUUGGGACCCGAAAGAUGGUGAACUAUGCUUGAUCAGGUUGAAGCCAGGGGAAACCCUGGUGGAGGACCGUAGAGAUACUGACGUGCAAAUCGUUCUUCAGAAUUGAGUAUAGGGGCGAAAGACUAAUCGAACCAUCUAGUAGCUGGUUCCCUCCGAAGUUUCCCUCAGGAUAGCUGGAGUUCUUAGGAGCCACGUGAGGUAAAGCGAAUGAUUGGAGGACUUGGGUUUGAAACAUUCUCUGCCUACUCUCAAACUUUAAAUGUGCGUGAACAUCUGAUUGCUUAAUUGAAUCGGGUUGUAGGGUCUAGAAUUCUUAGUGGGCCAUUUUUGGUAAGCAGAACUGGCGAUGCGGGAUGCUCCGGAAGCUGGGUUAAGGUGCCUAACUAAUCGCUCAUUCAGAUACCAUGAAAGGUGUUGGUUGAUUUAGACAGCAGGACGGUGGUCAUGGAAGUUGAAAUCCGCUAAGGAGUGUGUAACAACUCACCUGCCGAAUCAAGUAGCCCUGAAAAUGGAUGGCGCUCAAGCGAUUGACCGAUACUCAGCCAUUUGUGCUUUUGUGAUGCAUAAAUGAGUAGGAGGGCGUGACGAUAGUGCCGAAGGUGUGGCGGUGACGUCCACUGAAGCUGUCGUUAGUGCAGAUCUUGGUGUUAGUAGCAAAUAUUCAAAUGAAAACUUUGAAGGCCGAAGUGGAGAAAGGUUUCACGUGAAGUUUAAUGCGACGUGAGUGACCCAGUCCUAAUCGUCUCCUGAAAUGGAAAGAUAGGUUGCUUUUUGCGCCAUCACGAGAAAGGGAAACCGGUUAAUAUUCCGGUGGUGCAACCACGAUGCUAAGCGGUGACGCUGUAGAACCGGGUGACGCCAGCGAGGUCCCUGGAAAGAGUUUUCUUUUCUUUUUAACAAAUUGACAGUGAAUGGAAUGGGAUUAUCCCGAGAUAUUCAGUGUUGUUUGGCAAAGCAGGUGACUUUCUCACCUGUCCGGUGCGAUCUCGAUGGUCCAUGAAAAGCCUGGGGAUUAUUUACAUCAGAGUUGUAGCUGUACUCAUAACCGCAUCAGGUCUCCAAGGUGAAUAGCCUCUGGUCGAUGUGAUAAUGUAGGUAAGGGAAGUCGGCAAAUUAGGUCUGUAACUUCGGGAAAAAGACUGGCUCUUAGGGCUGGGCGUAUGAGGCUCGAAAUUGAAGUCUCCUAUUUCCGUCGUCUGGCUAGCUCUUCGGGGCAGGCCGAAUGAUCGUGAUUUGGGUGAUGGAUUUUUCGGGAUGCUUCGGCGAUCUCUGCGUAUUUAACAGCUAACUGAGAACUGGCGCGGACAAGGGGAAUCCGACUGUUUAAUUAAAACAAAGCAUUGUGAUGGUCGGAAACGAUGUUGACACAAUGUGAUUUCUGCCCAGUGCUCUGGAUGUCAAAGUGAUGAAAUUCAAGGAAGCGCGGGUAAACGGCGGGAGUAACUAUGACUCUCUUAAGGUAGCCAAAUGCCUCGUCAUCUAAUUAGUGACGCGCAUGAAUGGAUUAACGAGAUUCCCACUGUCCCUACCUACUACACAGUGAAACCACAGCCAAGGGAACGGGCUUGGGUGUAACGGCGGGGAAAGAAGACCCUGUUGAGCUUGACUCUAGUCUGACUUUGUGAGGUGACUUGAGAGGUGCAGCGUAAGUGGGAGAGCAAUCGUCAAUGAGACACCACUACUCUUAUCGUUGUCUUACUUAUACGUUUAGUAAGCAACAGAAUAUUACAUUCUGCUUAUAGUUUUAAGCACACUCGUGUGCGAGCUUGGACGUUGACAGUGUCAGGCGGGGAGUUUGGCUGGGGCGGCACAUCUGUUAAAUGAUAACACAGGUGUCCUAAGAUCAGCUCAGUGAGAACAGAAAUCUCACGUAGAGCAUAAGGGUAAAAGCUGAUUUGACAACCACCUCCAGUGAUGGUGGAAGCCGUGAAAGCGUGGCCUAGCGAACUCUCAACUUGUGGAUAUUACGGUUGGGAAUGUCAGAAAAGUUACCACAGGGAUAACUGGCUUGUGGCAGCCAAGCGUUCAUAGCGACGUUGCUUUUUGAUCCUUCGAUGUCGGCUCUUCCUAUCCCUAAGUCGCAUAAGGCUUAAACGGUAAGAUUGUUCACCUACUAACAGGGAACGUGAGCUGGGUUUAGACCGUCGCGAGACAGGUUAGUUUUAUCCUACUAUAACGUAGGUAUUCCGAUAGUACCGCAACUCAGUACGAGAGGAACCGUUGUGGCGAGUAACCGGUUAAUGCCGUUGUUCGAGAGAACAAUGCGGCGAAGCUGCCACUCGUGGGAUAACAGCUGAACGCCUCUAAGCUGGAAACCCUACUAACACGAAUACUUUGUGUU
rnacentral:rRNA from 1 species